rnacentral:tRNA from 1 species
GGGGAUGUAGCUCAGCGGGAGAGCACUUGCUUUGCAUGUAAGAGGCCCUGGGUUCAACUCCCAGCAUCUCCA